rnacentral:rRNA from 1 species
UACGUAGGGCGCAAGCGUUAUCCGGAAUUAUUGGGCGUAAAGAGCUCGUAGGCGGUUUGUCGCGUCUGCCGUGAAAGUCCGGGGCUCAACUCCGGAUCUGCGGUGGGUACGGGCAGACUAGAGUGCGGUAGGGGAGACUGGAAUUCCUGGUGUAGCGGUGGAAUGCGCAGAUAUCAGGAGGAACACCGAUGGCGAAGGCAGGUCACUGGGCCGCAACUGACGCUGAGGAGCGAAAGCAUGGGGAGCGAACAGG